rnacentral:lncRNA from 1 species
CAUUCUCCAAGGAUGAUGGUGAAGACCACGAUGUAAAACAGGCAUCGCGCGAAAGCUACAACAGUAUGAGAGCAGUGAAACAUAAAGAUAAUCCAGACAUCAGAGAUUACAGGUUGGUGUAUGAGAAAGACGGCUGCGAUGUCUUCCGGGUGCCUCGUAAACUCAAUGGAAAGGGAUGCAUGGUUCUCCUCACCGAUUCCGUGGUAGUCAAUGGAAUGGAUAAGAAUUGU